CAGUGGGGAAUAUUGGACAAUGGGCGAAAGCCUGAUCCAGCCAUGCCGCGUGUGUGAAGAAGGUCUUCGGAUUGUAAAGCACUUUAAGUUGGGAGGAAGGGCAGUAAGUUAAUACCUUGCUGUUUUGACGUUACCGACAGAAUAAGCACCGGCUAACUUCGUGCCAGCAGCCGCGGUAAUACGAAGGGUGCAAGCGUUAAUCGGAAUUACUGGGCGUAAAGCGCGCGUAGGUGGUUCGUUAAGUUGGAUGUGAAAGCCCCGGGCUCAACCUGGGAACUGCAUCCAAAACUGGCGAGCUAGAGUAUGGCAGAGGGUGGUGGAAUUUCCUGUGUAGCGGUGAAAUGCGUAGAUAUAGGAAGGAACACCAGUGGCGAAAGGCGACCACCUGGGCUAAUACUGAC
rnacentral:rRNA from 1 species